AUGAAAUCCAACCGAGCCCCUGGCCCAGACGAUAUCCCUGUUGACUUUUAUCAACACUGCUGGGAUGUAGUAGCCCAUGAUCUCUUAUGCCUGUUUGAAUGGUUUCAUGAAGGCAAGUUAGAUGUCCAACGACUUAAUUAUGGAAUCAUAACCUUGCUUCCUAAGUCGACUGAUGCUAAUAAAAUCCAGCAGUAUAGGCCCAUUUGUUUGUUACGUUGCCCUUACAAGUUACUCACUAAAGCCAUGGAUAUUAGAGCUAGCAAAUAUGCCCAUAAAUUGUUCAGUAUCCAACAGAAUGCUUUU
rnacentral:rRNA from 1 species